UUGUAUAUGUUAAUUUCUAUAUUUUCUUUUCUCAUUAAAAUAUAUUUGAUUGUUUUUACUGUUUUUAGUUUCGUUUUAAUUUAUAUUUGAGCUCUUUAUGUAUUUAUAUUUUUAAACAAUUUUUAUCAGGGAUGCAAAGUCCCAAAAAGGAUUCCAGGUUUUAACAUUACAAAAAGAUUAUUUCUUUUUUGGUACCCAAGAGCUUAAAAAUGUUAGAAUCUUAUGGACUACUAUUGAGAAAAAAAUUUAACACUUUGAGAUUAGAGGAACAAUUGAUUUUUGAGCUCUGAGUACUAAUGUAUAAUGGCGGCAAGGACUUCACGACUCUAGGUUUAAAAACAAUAAGUUCUUUGUCAUUAAAUCUCAUAAAUUUUUUUCUUAUUGCAGAACAUAAGUCACCCAACAUUUUUAAAGCUUCAGAACUCUAGAUUCCAGGGAAAAAAAAAGCUGGGGUCCUUUUAAGACUCCACAUUCUUUAUUCAUAUAUAUAAGCCAUCUGAAACAAGGUGUGUUAUCGCAUUACCACGCUUUAUAAUAUCUUCAUCUUCAAGUUUAGAUCUGGAAAGUAAACAAAUGAUUCAAAAUAUUAUGACAUGCCUCUUAUACAAGAUUUAAUGAGUUUGUAAGUUUCUAUUUUGAAAAAGAAGAUCGAUUUAAUUAUUGUAAUUUGUCAAUAGUUUUUUCCAGGUUUUUUUUUUUUUUUUCAAAAUUGAAUCUUGAGCUUGAGAGAACUCGUUAAGAUCAGAAAGUGGCUUAAUAUAAUUUUAAUUUUUAUCCACUACUGGUUCAAUCAUUAAUUCAAUGUUUUUUUUUGGACUGAAGUUGACACUUAGUAAUGAGGAACUAGAACAUGGCUGUUUAACAGAAAAAUUGUCUCAAUUUUGAUCAACAAAGUAUGGUAUUAAAAGACACAAAAGAGCAACUUUAUGUCUAGAAUCGUAUCUGAGUUUUUUAAUGGGAAAAAGAUUUUUUAAUGAAGGAUCUUUAUCUUUAAAAUGAUUGAAGCAAACUCGUACAUCUUACUUUGGACAGAAAAAAAAUCAGUUGUUCCAGGAGCGCUUUUUAGGCGGUUAACAAGUUGUAUUCAAAUUUUACGUUGAGAA